UGGGUUAUAUCUUAUGGAUUAGGGUUGGGGUUAUGGGUUAUGGGUUAGGGCUGGGGUUGGGGCUAUGGGUUAUGGGUUAUAGCUUCUGGGUUAGGGUUGGGGUUAUGGGUUAUGGGUUGGAGUUGGGGCUAUGGGUUAUGGCUCAUGGGUUAGGGUUGGGGUUAUGGGUGAGGGUUAGGGUUGGAGUUGGGGCUAUGGGUUUUGGGUUACAGCUCAUGGGUUAGGGUUGGGGUUAUGGGUUAUGGGUUAGGGCUGGGGCUGGGCUAUGGGUUUUGGGUUAUAGCUUCUGGGUUCGGGUUGGGAUUAUGGGUUAGGGUUGGGGUUGGAGUUGGGGCUGUGGGUUACAGAUCAUGGGUUAGGAUUGGGGUUAUGGGUUA
ensembl:lncRNA